GUCCAUUAACUCAAUUAUAUCUAGGCAUAAUAGUAUACAAAAAAAUCACAGAAGAAUUGAUAUCCAAUAGCAAUAGUUUAAUCUAUCUUUACAUAUCUCUGUGGGUUUAUAAUCACAUUAUUGACAUAAAUCAAAUACUUACUAUCCCUACUAACAAAUGCAAAUGAUUUCACAAUAUACAAUAAUACAAAUGAUUCUACAAAAUACAAUUUUUCUAAUGGUGUAAUGAAUCUAUGCAUAUCAAAUAAAGCAAAGUCGGCCUGAACCACACGUUGCCAUAUUAAACAUGUUCCGGCCUUCUAUCUAUAGUAGGCUGUGCCCACAGUCUUUAUUGACUGGGCUAGAUCUAACAGAAGAUAACUCUGAGACAACAGGUUUUCGUUUAACUGAAAUAAUCUUUUUAAUAAAAUUCAAUAUAUUACCAACUUACCACUUACCUAAUGAAGAUUUUUUUAAAUCAGUUUAUAGCCAACCUAACAAAUUUAGUUGUAACCCUGGUCUGGCAUAGUAUUUCUAAAGAGUGGUAUAUCCUGUUGUUAUACUUUAUAGUUCAGUGAUGUAGCCAAAGACCUUAGGGAUCUUUAGAUAAAGACCUUAGAUCUUUGGAUAAAGACCAAAGAGAUCUUUAAGGUCUUUGGAUGUAGCCGGCUUAUGCUUGAUCAUAUGUCUGUUUUUUCAACCAUAUGAGCUAUGUUUCUUUUAUAGUAGGUUUAAAAUUAUUUUAGUCGUUAUUUUGCUCUUCUUCCAUUUGUUCUAAAUUUAUUACGUGAUGUAAAUAUUCAAACCUACUCUCACAUAGUUUAAUUUAAAUUACAGUAUAAAUGGAGCAUAAAUCAAAUGUUCCUAAUUUGAGGCUUCUUUCGUAUUUUUUACACUUCUCAGUUUGUAACUUUGAACAAAUCUAAAUUUAUGUAAGUUACUGUUUCAUGGACAGGUUGUCAUGUCUCACCUUCCUAUUCCUGAAUCUGAAAAUUUAAACCAGGAUGAAAAAAAUGAUUUGAAUGAAGGUUUAAAUGUGGAUCUUGUCGAGAACGAUAAUAGAAUUUUGCAACUUCAAAGCGAACUGGAUGAAAACCCCGGUGAUGCGGCCAGAGUUGCGGAGAACAUAGAACUGAUAAGGCUGCGACGUCUGGUGAAGAGACAAUCGGCGCAGUUGGCCACCCUCAAUGCACAUCUCGAGGUCUCUGACAAGGAACUUGAACAGCUGCGUACGUCUUACGACCAGGCCAGUCUGGAGAACGAUCAAGUUUUGAAGCAGUUGAUGAAUGAGAAACAACGAAUUCGAGUAAUGCAGACCGAACUCAUCGAGCUUGGCAACUUCAAGCAAGACAUCAAAAUACUCCAAGAACAAGUUCGUGAUUUGCUGAGUGAGAGAAGCCUGCUUCGUAGCAAUAAUGAUAAGUUGCUUGAGAUUGCUUCAGGAAAAACCGAGGAAGACAAUAGCCAACAACAAAAAAAUGUGACCGACAAAGAGACAAUAGAACAAGAAUCGACGAAAGAAGAAGCUGAAAAAAUCUCAUUCGGGACAGAGAAAGAAACGUGGAGCAAUUGUCCAGAUGAUCAGAUAAGUAGAAUUCUAGGAGAUCCCGAUAAGUAUCAAGUUACUAAGAAAUCUCCAAGGAUAUCUUUGAAAUACUACUUGCUCAAAGACCUAAUAGCGAAAGCAUUUGUUGCCAAUACCUGUGAUCUGGAUAUCAAACCUUAUACGGAACUAAGUUUGCUAAAAGCAUUCACUCAUCAGGCAAGUGAUAUAUUUUCGAAACAAUUUUUCCAGCCGUCUUCAUUGAGCUAUACUGUUAUGCCUUUGACUGUGGUAUCUGAUGAUAAUUCUAUCCAAGAUAAAGAUGACGAGAAAGAAAAAGGAGAUGGAAAUGACGAUACCUCUCCAAAAGUUGAUGAUGAUGGCAAUGACAAACGUAAUGAGAACAGCAAUAAUUCAGUGUUGAGUAUAGAUGAGGCAAAGUUCGUAUUUAUGCAGCUACUAAAACAUGAACUGGAAACAUAUGAUACAUCAUCAGAUCAGUUGAUGAGUAAUGAUAGAUCAAUAAAUGAAGAAAUCGAUUUAGAGAGAAAUAAUUCCAACGAAAUCAAUUCUACAGAAAAUACACAUGAUUCACCAUUCAGGAGGCCAUCCAGUAUGGUUGAUUAUUUCUGGGGACUUGUUGGAUACAAGAUAUAUUUCCCUGAUAAGCCAAAAACAUUAGUUGAAAUCAGUGAACAUUCCGGGGAUGCUAGUAGUGAUAACUUGGAAAAUAAUGAACCAAAUUCCUCAAACGAUAAAGCUUCCCCUCUUUACACUAUGACUAUUUCUGACGAAUCAUUUGAGACGACCAAUUGCAUAGAGGGUUGUAUUUUGAGUAUCAGCAAUGUUGACAAUACUCAUUACAACUCAGACAGUGAAGUCAAUAACCAGGAACCUAGGUUUGAUAUCAGUAAUUCAGGUAGUGAAGAAAGUCAGACCAUUGAAAUUACAUCAUUUCGAACUAUUUAUUCGGAUCAGCCACAUACAUCUGAAGAUGAAUUUAUGCCAAAUCAAAUAAAAAGUGACUCACAAACAGGAGGCGCUUCAUCUUUAAAAUUGGCAGGGGUUUCAGUAUUAAAUGAAAAAUCAUCAAUUUCCUCACAUAAUAGUGAGAGAUCCAGGGAAAUGUUAGAACCGGUAGAAAGAGGCGAGGUAAAAGAUAGUGAUUUAAUUCCAAAUUUGUCAACAACUUUAACACAUGAAGAGAAUAAGAAUGCUACUGCUGGUAAUGAUUAUAGCAGUGAACCUAUAGUACGCCAUGUGGGCAAUGAUUAUAGCAGUGAACCUAUAGUACGCCAUGUGGGCAAUGAUUAUAGCAGUGAACCUAUAGUACGCAAUGUGGGCAAUGAUUGCAAUCUAUGCUCAUGUAACUCCUCCCCAGGUGCAAGGCGAUAUGUUUUGGAAGAGCACACAUCUGGUUCAUCGAAGAAUGAUAUACUCUCUUUGGGAGAUAACGUUCAAAAUCUUCCAGAUCAGCAGACUACCACAUUCAUUGUCUACAAUUUCAAUAGUGUAACUGGAUCAAAAGAUAAGAUUGGAGUUCUCUUUUUGAAGAAGAUGAAUAACUGUGAGUGUAAUACGAAGUCCGUCCCAGAAAGUCAAACACGUAAUAAUAAUCAACCUAGAACUACUUCUCCAAAUGAUGAAAAUGAAUCUCAAUAUACUACUUCAAAUAAUGAUAAUGAAUCUCCAUACAUAAAUUCAAAUAACGAAUAUCAAACUUCACCGACUACACAUGAUUUUGAAGUGAAUAAAGCUAGUAAUAAUCAGACUGUGAAUUCUGAACAGUCAGAAAAAAGUCAACUCCCAAAUAGAGAACUUGAACAUAUAAUAACUGGUGGUAAUUUAGAUCAGAAAACUCCAAAUUAUAACCAAAAUGAUGAAAGUCUACCCAGAACAGUAGACAAUAGUGUUCCUCCAACAAUACUCACAGGUUUUGAUCCAGCACCCUUACUAACAUUACUCAGAAGAUUGAUUCAUAAAAUUCUGGGAGACUCAGUGAAUGUGAAUCCUGGACCAAGUUUCAGUGUUGAUGAUAAUAUAGUUAUUGAGUCACUUGAUACAAAUAAUCCUGAAAAUGUACCUCAGUCAUUUGAUGAAAAUGCUUGCAAUUCAAAACUGGAAAGUCUUUAUGAAACGUCUGAUAUUGUGAAAAGUAGCAGGCGUAGUUUAAAACCUACUUCAAGUGCAAAUAACUCUUUGGAUAGAAACCGUCAAAGUUCUUUGUCUAAUCAAAACAAAUACUUUCAGAGGUUAAGCGAUCCUGGGUUACCACAACUUGACACAAAAUCCAAAGAAACUCAAACUUAUAACAGAAAAUCGACCGUAAAAAAUGAGAAGAUUGAUUAUAGAUAUUUGGCUGUUAGUGACCAAAAUUCGAAAAAGUUGUCAGGGUAUAGUAAACAACGUAAUAGCAAUUAUCCUCCAACAAAUUCUUCCAGAUCUCUGAGUGGAUCUCCAGACAGAAGAACUGGCCAAACUUUGAACGAUAAAAAGCAAGGAAAGUCAUCUGAAGUUGGAAAAACAUAUCCUCCAUUCAGUGAUAGAUUGUCGAAAAAUGUUGUUGGUCAAGAUUUGGGGAAGAGUUUUGAGUUGAAAAAGCAGAGCACACCUGAAACACUUGAUUCAAGUAGUAGAAAUCGCUCUAACCAAGAUUAUUAUAAUCGUCCUGUCAGUUCAAAUUAUCAUGCUAGGUGCAAAACUCCUGCAAAUUACAGUCCUGAAGGUCAGAGAUCUCAUGCACCCAAAAUAAUUCAAUCUCCAUUGAAUAAAUCGAAAAGAUGCGAUGAAGAUUCCGAUGGGGCGUGUAAGAGGAAUCGUGGUCGAAAUGAUGAUCACAUCCGAAAAUGUGAAUCGCCGAUUUCAAAGUUCAGCUGCCCCCUUGAAAGGGAACUCAUAGACCAUAUCAAGAGACUUCUAGAACUUCUAAAACAAAAUUCUUUUUUGAAUGAGAAUCAAUCUGUUGGUGGGUUUUCAAAUGAUGAUAGUGAGAGUUUCUAUUGUGAUAGAAGGAUGGCAUUUUCUAUACCAAAAGAUGAUGAUUCUGCUGGUGGAUUUUCGAAAGAUGAAAAUGAAUUUUGUUCAUCGAUGGAUGAUGAUGGAAUAAGUAGUCCACAAUGUUGUAACCAAAUGCCCCCUAGAUCUAAAGACCAAGAAGAUAAUUCUCAGUUAAGCUCCGACCAGAAUGGUCCAUUCAGAAGUAGGGAAUUUUCUAUACCAAAAGAUAAUGACAGAAUAAGUAGUGGUAGCCAAAUGUCCACUAGAAUUAACGAACAAGACAAUUCUCAAUUGAGUUCCGAUUUGAAUAAUCCCGAGGAGUGUCCUUCAUGUUUGAAUAGAAAAUUGAGACUACAACAGUUGAGUGUAUCUGAUGAUUCUCCUUUCAAUAGGAUUCAGGAAAAUGAUGAUCAAAACAAAGAAAACGAUCAAGCUCAUCAUACUCAUAAGGCUGAAAAACUAGAAGAGCGUAACCAUCAACAUAGAUCUCAGCAUCCGGAGAUGAUAAUAGUUGUCGGGAAGAAAUUGACUAUCUAUGAGUCAGAUCCAGCUAUUAAUAAAAAAUGAACAUAUUUCGUUCUAUUUCGAAAUCACUUUCUUUUCUACUCUUCUAUAUUUUUCUAUGACUUCGAUAUUUAGGCUGACAGCUCAAAAGAAUGACAAAAGAACAUUGAAGAUGGAUGGGAUCUUCUAAAUAAACGUAAAAUUACUCAAUGAAGAUUAAUAAAAUAAUUGAAAAAUUAAUUUCAGUUUAUUUGACCAGCUCCAUCGUAUACAUUCAGCCAACAAAUAUUUAGGCUACUUUUUGAUACAAUGAAAUCUAAUGGAAUGGACUUAUGGAAUGCCAAAUUGAUUCAUUCGAAGGCGAAGUAAGCCAUCUUUUCAAGGCUAGGAAAAUUAUCUGGUAAAAUAAUGUGAUCAAUAUAUUCAUAUGAUAAAACCAGAACCAACAAUCAGAACAUUGACUUGAAAAAUGACAAUAAUGAUCCAGAUUUACUACGUAAACUUAUUUCUGAAGAAAUAAACAAAUCUCCAAAUAUUUGUUGCA